GGUUAAGCGACUAAGCGUACACGGUGGAUGCCCUGGCAGUCAGAGGCGAUGAAGGACGUGCUAAUCUGCGAUAAGCGUCGGUGAGGUGAUAUGAACCGUUAUAACCGGCGAUUUCCGAAUGGGGAAACCCAGUGUGAUUCGUCACACUAUCAUUAACUGAAUCCAUAGGUUAAUGAGGCGAACCGGGGGAACUGAAACAUCUAAGUACCCCGAGGAAAAGAAAUCAACCGAGAUUCCCCCAGUAGCGGCGAGCGAACGGGGAGGAGCCCAGAGCCUGAAUCAGUGUGUGUGUUAGUGGAAGCGUCUGGAAAGGCGCGCGAUACAGGGUGACAGCCCCGUACACAAAAAUGCACAUAUUGUGAGCUCGAUGAGUAGGGCGGGACACGUGGUAUCCUGUCUGAAUAUGGGGGGACCAUCCUCCAAGGCUAAAUACUCCUGACUGACCGAUAGUGAACCAGUACCGUGAGGGAAAGGCGAAAAGAACCCCGGCGAGGGGAGUGAAAAAGAACCUGAAACCGUGUACGUACAAGCAGUGGGAGCCUCUUAAUGGGGUGACUGCGUACCUUUUGUAUAAUGGGUCAGCGACUUAUAUUCUGUAGCAAGGUUAACCGAAUAGGGGAGCCGAAGGGAAACCGAGUCUUAACUGGGCGUUAAGUUGCAGGGUAUAGACCCGAAACCCGGUGAUCUAGCCAUGGGCAGGUUGAAGGUUGGGUAACACUAACUGGAGGACCGAACCGACUAAUGUUGAAAAAUUAGCGGAUGACUUGUGGCUGGGGGUGAAAGGCCAAUCAAACCGGGAGAUAGCUGGUUCUCCCCGAAAGCUAUUUAGGUAGCGCCUCGUGAAUUCAUCUCCGGGGGUAGAGCACUGUUUCGGCAAGGGGGUCAUCCCGACUUACCAACCCGAUGCAAACUGCGAAUACCGGAGAAUGUUAUCACGGGAGACACACGGCGGGUGCUAACGUCCGUCGUGAAGAGGGAAACAACCCAGACCGCCAGCUAAGGUCCCAAAGUCAUGGUUAAGUGGGAAACGAUGUGGGAAGGCCCAGACAGCCAGGAUGUUGGCUUAGAAGCAGCCAUCAUUUAAAGAAAGCGUAAUAGCUCACUGGUCGAGUCGGCCUGCGCGGAAGAUGUAACGGGGCUAAACCAUGCACCGAAGCUGCGGCAGCGACACUAUGUGUUGUUGGGUAGGGGAGCG
rnacentral:rRNA from 1 species